CAUCACUUCCUCGUCUUCUUUAUUUUUUAUGUUUCUAAUUAUGUUGUCCUCCGUUGCUAAAGCUGGUGGUGUGGUGUGAUAAUCUUCUAAACCCCAACGGGUCUAUCAGUCUGUGAUCUUGUUUUCAAUCGAUCAUCGCUAGUUCGUUUCUACUGGUGAAAUCUUUUCUAAGGGUCUUUUUGAAGCAAAUCCUAUGAGAUUAUGAUGAACCGACCAUCGCUCGUUCCUAAUCGUGAAAUCUUCUCUAGGGUUUGGUCUCUCUCAAUUCCAUCGGUCUUUUGGAAGCGAAUCAGUCUAUGAUGACACGACGCUCUUCGCUCCCCCGCUUCUGAAUUUUUCACACUCCAUUCUCCUACGGUUUGGUUUAUUAAUCUUAUUAAUGCUAUAAUCGAUCUAUAAUUUGCUCAGGCACUUCGUUCUCGCUUCUUAAUUUUUAACUUUGGGUUUUCUAAAUUGGAUCGAAUUAACUUGUCGUUUUGUUUUGUUGAUUUUGAUUUUGUGGAGGAUGAGUAUGCGCUACGAUUGAUAUAUGUGAUGGCUUUGAUUGAUCCUUGUCAAGCGGGUCUGAUGAUGCAGGUCGUCGUUGAGGUAGUGUGGGAUUGCUCUGUUAAAAUCUUAUGAUUCUGAUAUCUUGUUUUACAUCUUUUAGUCUCUUAGGUGAUAUGCUUACUUCUGAGAGCUCCUCUGUGAUUUUAUUCAGGUUUUGGAUGUGUGCUUUUAUUGAUCAGUUAUGGCUUUGAUGGACACGCUUCACUUCUUCUCUGUGCAACGUCUUCAUUGGGUUUUUGGAAGGGAAUUAUGAUCUGAUCUCCUCGUUAUUUCUCCAUAAUACAUCUUCAGGCCUUCGCACGGGUUUGUGAAGGAUCCUACGAUAUUGAUCGGUUUAAAAGGAUGCUUUUAUCGAUGAGAGCCAUGGCUUUGAUGCACACGCUUCUUCUCUGUGCUACGUCUUCAGGGUUUUUUGGAAGCGAAAUAUGAUCAGAUUCAGAUCAUUGCAUAAUCUUCUCGAGGCUACGUUUCAGGCUUUCUCACGUGUUCCUUACUUCAAACACUUCUCUAUUUGCUUCUGCAUUUUCACUUAUGUUUGAUGGUUUUUUUACUUACUCUCGUCUUUUGUUUUGGUGGUUUAGAUUUGUGGAGGAGGAUCCUACAAUUGGUCGGUGAUGGCUUUGAUGGAAACGCUUCUUCUCUGUGCUACGUCUUCAGAGGUGUUUUGGAAGCAAUUAUGAUCGGAUCAUUGCAUACCUUCUAACGUUAUGAAUUUAUUUAUGUGGUUUACUUGUCAUUCUGUUAUUUCAGGUUUUUGGAUGAUGUUUUUAUCGAUGAGAAUGAUGUCUCAAGGAGACAUGGACGCUUCACUUCUUCUCUGUGCUAACCUGUUUUGGAAGCUAAGUAUGAUAUGAUUGGAUCAUCGGAUAUUAUUCUGCAGGCUACGUCUUUAAUUAGGCUUUCAACACAUCUAUAUUUGCUUCUGAGUUUUAACUCUGGUUGUGGUUUUUUUAAUUACAUGUUACUUACUUGUUGGUUUUUGUUUUGUUGGUUUAGAUCUGUGGAGGAGGAUCCUUCGAUUAAUCGCUGUUGGCUUUGACUGAUCGUUGUCACUCGAAUUCAUGUUAUAUGAUCCAUCAGUGAUUGUGGAGGAGUAUACUAAGAAUAUCUAUCGGUCAUAGAUCGUGGAGGCAAUGGGAUUGCUCUGUUGAAUCUUUUUUCUCUGCCUUUUCUCUUUUGGUUUCUUCUGAUUUUUCAAGAGGUAUGAUCUGUCCUCUGUGUGUCUUUCAUUGGUUGUUUACAGAUUUCCAGCAUCAAUCACUCCUCUCUGUUUCUCUGCUGAUGUUUGUCUACACAUAUUCAUAUGAAAGGUGGUCUUAUCUUUUUUCUUAGGUAGUAAGGUUCUAAAAAGAAAAUUGCCAGGUUACUAACUGGUUCUUCCCCUUUAUUUUAUCUGUUGGUCUUAUCUCUCAUGCUACAUUUAUGUUUAGUGAUUGAAAGAUGAUGCCUUUGAUCUUGUGGUUCCAUGUUUACUCUCUGACAUCCUCUGAUAUAAAAGGUAUUUUGAGCUGUGAAUUGUGACCGUGGGGAGUUUCUUUUGAUUAUUUGGUAUGUUGAGGAUGCUAAGGAGUUUAACCUGCGAGUGUGAACAUGUGGUCUAUUCAGGUUUGUGGUGGAGGAUCCUACGAUUGAUCACUGAUGGCUUUGACUGAUAGUUGUCACUCUAGUUCAUGUCAUUCUUCUAAGGUUUUGAAUCAUGCUUUUAUUGAUGAGAGUCAUGGCUUUGAUGGACACGCUUCUUCUCUGUUUUACGUAUUCAGGGUGUUUUGGAAGCUAAUUAUGAUCUUAUCAUCACAUAUUCUUCUCCAUGCUACAUUUUCAGGCCUUCUCACAAGUUUGUGGUGAUUGAUCGGUGAUGGCUUUGACUGAUUGUUGUCACUCUAAUUCAUGUUAUACUCCUAAGGUUUUGAAUGAUGCUUUUAUCAGUGAGAUUCAUGGCUUUGAUGGACAUGUUUCUUCUCUGGGCUAUGUCUUCAGGGUUUUUUUCUUCCUCUUAACACUUCUUUUAGUACACUCUUUUUGCUAGACCUGAAUAUUUUUUAAGUUGUUUUUGAAUAUAAUGUGUCUUUUUUUAUGUGUCUCUUAGGUAUGCUAAGUCUAAGCUCUUCUGAUGCACAAGGCUCAAGUUCUUGUUCUCUUUCUCUUUGGGAUCUGUCAGCUAUCUCUUUGUUUUUAUAAAGUAGAGUUUGAAUUUUGGCUCCCUGAGUUUUAGACUGUGGCAUUGGGCAGUCGUCAACAUCAUUUGGACUUAUUUUUGGAUGUUUCAGGUUCUUUGUAGUUGAUGAUCUUCUUAGUGAUAGGGCAUUUAUGAUUUAUGCCUAAGACCCUAUCAUUUGUUAUUGAUAGUCGAGGAUCUAUCAGAGAGAAUCAUCAGGUAACUAACUGGUCACUUUCCCUAUAUGGUUUAUCAUGUUACAUCUAUUUCUAGUGUUUGAUCCUACUCUCAUAUGCUUGUGAUUGUGGUUUUUCUUAUGUGAAGUGCUCCCUUCUUUGUUAUUUCUAUGUUACCUCCUUGGUGGUUUUUCUUCUGUGAAGUGCUACCUUCUCGUUAUUUCUAUGUUAUUUCUUAUGUGUUUGAUCCUACUCUCAUAUGCUUGUGAUUGGUGGUUUUUCUCUUUUCCUUGGAGAUAUAAUCAGUUUUGCUUCCCCCUUUUUUUUUUUUUUUCCCAUUUUUCUAUGGUUUAAUUGUUAAUCACUUUUGUUCAGGAUGGUGUUUUCUAUUUCUACGUGAAUUCAUUAUCUGCGUAUAGGAAUUUGGAUGAUGCAAGUAGAAGUUCUGUUGUAUUCUUAAUUCCUGUGGUUGAUUUAGGUGUCAUGAGCUUAUUUUUCUGCUGUGUGGUUGUUAGUUGUUACACCUCUUUCUAUUUGUGAAUUACUUCUGAUUGUUAUAGUUUACUGGGUAGUCACGAGAAGUAAGCUUUGGGUUCCUCACUGGUUGCAUAAAGGAUUGAUCUCAAUUCGUAUGUUUCCUUUUUGUUAUUAUUUCUCCUCUGUAUGUCUUAUUGUAUGUUCCAGGAUUUCUUCAUUAAUCACUAUACUCUGAUCCUUUGCAGUCUAGUCGUAAUCAGAUGAAAGAUAAUCAUAACUUCCUUUUAAAUGGGUUUGUACUUAUUUUCUGUCCUUUUUAUGAUGGAUGUGUCUACCAAAAGUAGUUUUUGCAUUGAAUAUCUUCAAGUCUGAGCUUCUCUUAAGCAGAAAGCUAAGCUAGACAUGUUGUUAAUCAGGUAGUUGUUCAUCUUUCCUUCUUUGUUCUUCUGCAAUAUGUGGAUUCAUACUUCCUGUAUUUUGAAGUGUGUUUAGCCUCAUGAGAUUUUAACUAUGAGACUACGACAGUGGGAAGUUUCACAUGAUUGGAACUUGUCAUUGGAUUUUUUUGUUAAGUCUUUUAACAUAGAUAUUUCAGGUUUACUACUUGGUCUCUUCUUUGUUUAUCUAUUUGGUGUGCUACAUAUAUUCCUACUUGUGAUGGUAGGUUUUCUAUUUAUGAAUUCCUUCCCAUCAUUAUAGGUAUAUUGAGGAUGUGUUGGAGGCAGACUCCCUUUUCGAUUUUUGGGCAUUGAAGAUUGAAAUUUUGAUUGCAGUAUUUUUUAUACUAUUGGUGUUUUAUGCCUUUUUCUGUUUUGGUUUUACCACUAUAUUGUCUUGUGUUGGUGAGUUGUGUUCCUGCUCAGUAUUCUCUUCAGUUUGUCAAUUUGAUGUCAUCGUUUAUUUGAUUAUGUAAGUGAUUCUUGCUGGUCGUGUGACCUCAUGGGGGCAGCUCAUAGAAAGUGAAGAGCGUCUUGGUUUUGAUGAUAAUGGUCUUAACUUCUGACUUGUGAGGUUUUUUGCUUCCUGGGUUGUGGUUGGUUUUAAUGGUUCUGUAGACAUUUGAUAAUGAAGUCCUCGCUUGAUUUUAUGGUUGGGUGAUGCAUUAGGUUGUUGGAUUUCAGGGGAGGCUUAAUUUUAUAGAUAGACUUCUUACGAAUGUUCUCAGGUAGUCAGUGAAAAUUGAAAACAUCACCUUCCUUACAUCUGGUGAAGAGGCUGAUUAAGUAAGUUGUUGGAUUGUUACUUUGGUAGAGGCUGAUUAAGUAAGUUGUUGUGGAUUGUUACCUCCAUUAUGGUUACUUUGAUUCAGAUUCUACCAACCACAGAAGUGUCUAGCUCAUUUAUGGGACCUUCGGUGUGGGUUGCUUUGACUUGGAUCUACAAUUGCGCAAAUGAUGUUUUCUCAACUUGUCUAUAUUGUUUUAUGCCUCUUUUUGAUUUGUCAUGUCGUGACCAUGAAGCCUACGCUGGUGUUGCGGUUUCUGAAGUUCUCAUGGGAAGCACUGUGACUAGGACUGGAGUAGAGGCUGAAAAUGAUUGAAAUAGUGAUUUUGUUCAGUUAUGUGCUUUUGUAUAGUGUAUCUAUUCUCCGAGAACUGAUGUCUUGGAUGUAUAAGACUGUUUUGUAAGUUUUAAAAGGUGAUACUGGUGAAUUUAUGGGAAUGAGUACACACAUGAGAAGUUA